UUACCCCUCCCCAGGGAGCGGGCAGCCUGCCACAGCCUCAGCGCCCAGCGAGACUCCGGAAAUCCCUCAGGAGCCAGGAAGGGGCAGAGGCAACGCAGGGGAGUCGCUCAAACCUUCCCCUGCCAGGACCCCGAGAGCCCCUCUCCGGCUGAGCAGAAGGGCCAGUAAAUGCUGGGAGAUCAAGAGCAGCGCGAACCCCGCUGCCACGCCCAGGAGAGAGCCUGCUCUGUCCUGCUCCAGACAGCCAAGCCAGGCGACGCGAGCUGCCAGCCCUGCCAAGGCUGCCCCACUUCCCAGGCAGCGGGCGCCUGAUGCAAAGAGCCUCCCCAGGCAAACUGCACUUCGGCCCAGCGGGGAGAACAGCUCAGGCAAACGUGGGACGCUGAGCAAAACGCUCUUC